GGAGUCUGGACCGUGUCUCAGUUCCAGUGUGGCUGAUCAUCCUCUCAGACCAGCUAGAGAUCGUCGCCUUGGUAGGCCGUUACCCCACCAACUAGCUAAUCCCACCUGGGCGCAUCUGAAUGCGACCGGUUGCCCGGCCUUUCCCCCUCAGGGCUUACGCGGUAUUAGCACCCGUUUCCAGGUGUUGUCCCCCUCAUUCAGGCAGCUCCCCAGGUAUUACUCACCCGUCCGCCACUCGUCAGCCAGGAAGCAAGCUUCCUGCCGUUACCGUUCGACUUGCAUGUAUUAAGCCUGCCGCCAGCGUUCAAU
rnacentral:rRNA from 1 species